rnacentral:misc_RNA from 1 species
UGAGAUUGUGAUUCCGCUGCCGAAUAUUAGUGGAAGAAUGCUGGGAAUGGUGAUUGAGUGGAUUGUGACGCACGUCGAAAAAAAAUUAACAGAGGAAGCGCUUAAAGAUUGGGAAAGUAAGUUCGUGGAUGAUCUGGAUUUGGAUUUGUUGUUUGAGCUUAUAAUGGCGGCUAAUUACCUGGAAGUCACCGAUUUGUUCCAUCGAACUUGCCAAAGCGUCGCUGAUAAGAUUGCCGGAAAGAGUCCGGAGGAGAUUCGGAGGAUCUUUAACAUUACGAACGAUUUUACGCCUGAAGAAGAGGCUGAGAUUCGUCGCCAGAAUGCUUGGGUCUUCGAAUCCACUAGCGGUAGCAGUAGCGGCAGUAAAUAGAUUUCUAUGCAUUCCUAUUUUUUUUUGUAGAACA